UACAGAGGGUGCAAGCGUUAAUCGGAAUUACUGGGCGUAAAGCGCGCGUAGGUGGUUUGUUAAGUUGGAUGUGAAAGCCCCGGGCUCAACCUGGGAACUGCAUCCAAAACUGGCAGGCUAGAGUACAGUAGAGGGUGGUGGAAUUUCCUGUGUAGCGGUGAAAUGCGUAGAUAUAGGAAGGAACACCAGUGGCGAAGGCGACCACCUGGACUGAUACUGACACUGAGGUGCGAAAGCGUGGGGAGCAAACAGG
rnacentral:rRNA from 1 species